UUUGGGAAGGAAUUAGGUCUAGCUGCUGUGCAGGGUCAUUUGUUUUGUGGAAAGUGCUGGCCAACAGUACAAAGGAACGUUUGCACACGGGACAAACAAACCACUGCAGCCCAUCUAAUAACAGGGAGGCUUAUCAGCUGCUUCUGCCUCCUCUAAUUUUCAUCAGUUUUGACAAGCCCAUUAAAUGAUUCUGGGACCAAAAAUAAACAUGUUUGUGUUGAGCUGAAGAGACAAGCAGCAAUCACACCUCUCUGUGUUGGAGGGAAGGACACAAGACAACUUUUAAUUAAAACGGGGCUCCAUUGCACAACAUGCCGGACAUGAUAAACAAGACUUGGGAACAGAACUUCCAGGAAGACAGUGGGAGAUGUUGUGAUGGUGAAAAUGCUCGUCCAGACAGACGGUGGAAUGUGGCAGAAGAUUCAUGGUGUGAGUGUUGGUAUGGCCUACAAAUCCAUCCUCUAAUCCUGAUCUAAAAGUAAUGAGUUUCUCUGUUCAGCUCUUCAUUUGUGUGAUUAAAGGGCUUAAUUCACAGCAAGAGGACAGUUUUCUGUCUUUCGCUUUUGAUAUUUAACUAUCCAACAUGAGAUACGACAGUGGGGCUUUUUCAUUUUUACACAGUUCUAUCAUGUCAUAUCUCGGGUGUCACAGUGUGUUAUUUCGAUCAGGCUCAGUGGGAAGCGCUUUUCAAAUUCAAAUAAAACGAAGAGAGCAGCCUGAACAUCCCCAGUGGCCUGAGCCGGACAAUGUGGCUUUGGCAAAGUCAGUGUCAGCACUCGGGUCCAUUGACAGCCAACAUCUAUUUUUCACAAGACAACAUCUUUAGCAGUGGCUAUUGUCAUUCACUGGAAAAACAGAAUCACCAGGCUGUCAGCAGCAUAAAAAUCUGUUUCCAUGACAACGACUCCUUCCAAACUCCCAAGUCAUUUCUGUCACAGAGGCUGACAUAAGGUGACGCAGAGAAGCAGCUGCAUCCAUGAGAGAGCAGGGAAACGUUUUAGAGGCUGCAGCCAAUCAAGCAAAAAAUGAUGCCAGUUUGCAAGAAGCCACUUUCUUCUAAUCAAGCUUGAUCAAUCAGAAAUCCUGGCUUGCAGUGGAUAAAACGCAGGAAAGCAAUCAGACCAGGUCACUGUUUUAUCUCUGAUGGAUGAACACACAAACAGUUGCACAGGAGCUGUUGCUAAGGAGAGAAGCAUUUAUUUGAAGAUAUGUUUGUGGUUUCUUCAUGAUGGCAAAGCUUUUGGCUUGAGCAAAGAUCCUGUAAACGGGACAAAUACUUUAUUGAUAUUUAUAUAUGUAUUCCGUAUACAGGACUGUAAUUAAAUAAAUA